AGGAGGGAGCGACUACUAUAGAAAAGCACCUUGUGGUGCAAAAAUAGAAAACUCGAAGCUGGACCACUCAAUUGAGGAUGGAUGGCACAGAUUCAACUGGUGGGAUGUGUACACACAAAUGCAUGCUUCUGUGCAAAAAGGACCCUCGUUUCUACCUUAUUUGCUUCUGAAUGUGCCAUCAAACGACAGCCCCCCCUCUCUUCCAUCUCCCCUGUUGCUUCCCGACGGCGGCGGCGCUUUAGAUCCGGUGGCAAGCGCCUCCCUUCCCCUUCCCAGCUACUCUUACUCAAGGCCACCUGACUCCUCCUGGCCGCCGUCACGGCGGUGAACCCCGGGGCCCUGCUCCUGUAGGCGCCUAGGAGGCACUGCGUGGCAUUCCCUGUGCCCGCCUCCGGCGCAUCUACGGCGAGAAUGAGCUCGUGCUGUCUGCGCCCAAGCUGCAAGGCUGAUGCUAAUCUGAAGCCAUCUUUGAUGCUAAUUUGGAGCCAUUUUCUUUGCCGCUAUGCACAGUCCAGAGCUGGAGCCAUGCCCUUUAGUUUGUAGUUCGUUAAUCUGUCAAUAUUGAGAUUACAUUGAUUC